UGUGCUCUUUCGAUAUCCAAGACAAAAAAGGUAUUCCUCCAGAUCAACAGCGUCUUAUUUUGCAGGGAAACAGCUGGAAGAUGGUCGUACUCUCUCAGAUUACAAUAUCCAAAAAGAAUCUACCCUCCAUCUUGUUCUUCGAUUGAGAGGUGGUAUGCAAAUUUUUGUGAAAA